UGCGGGCCCUUGCGGGGGCUGGUUCCAGCAGCAACCGCCGGGCAGGGCCCCUCCCGACCGCGACCUCCUGUCCGCACCGUAGGGCAGCCGGCCGGGCCAGCCUCCCUCACAGGACUACCGAGGAAGAGGUAGGAUUUCACUCUGUCACCCAGGCGGGAGUGCAGUGGUGCGAUCAUAGCGGGGACUACAAGUGUGCACCACAUGCUUGUCUACGAACCUGAAGUAUUCUGAUGCAGUGGAGAGAGUGUAGAACUCUGGAGUGAAGAGAUCUGCCUGGAACCCUGACUCUAUCACUAGAUCAGGACCUGAAGUAGGUGGCUGCCCAUCCAGGUAUUCUACAGGCACUUGCCCGUGAAACCUUCACCACUCCUUGAAUCUGGUUCUGCAAAGUGGGACAGCUGAGACUUAGGCUAAGUGACUUACUGAGGCAGCAGUCAGCACCGUGUGGGACCAGCCCCCAUGCUGUUUCCCAAAUGGAGGCACCUUCCUGCAUACCUUGGGCGUGAUCUGUAACAGCUCAGAAAGCUUGGACACCAGCAGGGUGGCACCUAUAUGGGGAGCACCUGUCCGCACUGACUGCAUUCAAUAAGCGUUCAUUUCAUCACCCUUCACCAUGCUUUGUCACUCCAAGAGAUGGCCCUGGGACUGAGAAGUGGAUGGCAGCUGUGACAGCAGGAGAGGACUGCCUGAGGCUCCCCGGGCAGAGGCUCUGGUGCCAGGUUAGCAGCAGGACCGACGGCAGACCCAGCAGCCAGAGAGUGAAAGGUGGGUAAAUUGAGGCCCAAGGAGAGGAAUGGACUUGCUGUGGACAUUCCAAGAGCCCAGAGGCAACUCAGGCCAAGGCGAGUCUGUCUGUUCUGAAUCUCUUAGGUCAGUUCUGAAUCCAAACAGUAACCGGACAAGCCCAUUCUCAGGAGCUCCUCAGCUCCAUUCCGUGGGGGCUUGGUUACCUGUAACAGGGCCUCAACAGGAGGGUCAUAGACUUGCCCAUUGCUUCCAAGCAACAGGGAGUUGGCAUUGCCCUGCCUCCUGUGGGACUCGCAAACAUAAAAUCUCAGGCUCUCUCAUUCUCACAUCUACAUUACAUAGCACUGACUCUGUGCCGGACACUGUUCUUAGUGCUUUGCAAAUAGUAAUUUAUAUAGUCCUCAUUGACUGGGAAGCUAUAUUAAUUUUGACAUUAUUCCUGAGAAAAGCAUAUCCCUUCCUGGGUUCUGGCCCUGUUAACAGGAAUGUUUUAAAAC
rnacentral:lncRNA from 1 species